rnacentral:rRNA from 1 species
GGAAUAUUGGACAAUGGGCGCAAGCCUGAUCCAGCCAUGCCGCGUGAGUGAUGAAGGUCUUAGGAUUGUGAAGCUCUUUCACCGGAGAAGAUAAUGACGGUAUCCGGAGAAGAAGCCCCGGCUAACUUCGUGCCAGCAGCCGCGGUAAUACGAAGGGGGCUAGCGUUGUUCGGAAUUACUGGGCGUAAAGCGCACGUAGGCGGAUAUUUAAGUCAGGGGUGAAAUCCCGCAGCUCAACUGCGGAACUGCCUUGAAUACUGGGUAUCUUGAGUAUGGAAGAGGUAAGUGGAAUGGCGAGUGUAGAGGUGAAAUUCGUAGAUAUUCGCAGGAACACCAGUGGCGAAGGCGGCUUACUGGUCCAUAACUGACGCUGAGGUGCGAAAGCGUGGGGAGCAAAC